UACAGAGGGUGCGAGCGUUAAUCGGAAUUACUGGGCGUAAAGGGCGCGUAGGCGGCACGGCAAGUCAGGAGUGAAAGCCCGGGGCUCAACCCCGGAACGUCUUUUGAAACUGCCGAGCUAGAGUGCGGAAGAGGCAACUGGAAUUCCCAGUGUAGCGGUGAAAUGCGUAGAUAUUGGGAAGAACACCUGAGGCGAAGGCGGGUUGCUGGGCCGACACUGACGCUGAGGCGCGAAAGCCAGGGGAGCGAACGGG
rnacentral:rRNA from 1 species